rnacentral:rRNA from 1 species
UAGGGAAUCUUCGGCAAUGGGGGCAACCCUGACCGAGCAACGCCGCGUGAGUGAAGAAGGUUUUCGGAUCGUAAAGCUCUGUUGUAAGAGAAGAACGUGUGUGAGAGUGGAAAGUUCACACAGUGACGGUAACUUACCAGAAAGGGACGGCUAACUACGUGCCAGCAGCCGCGGUAAUACGUAGGUCCCGAGCGUUGUCCGGAUUUAUUGGUCGUAAAUCGAGCGCAGGCGGUUUAAUAAGUCUGAAGUUAAAGGCAGUGGCUUAACCAUUGUUCGCUUUGGAAACUGUUGAACUUGAGUGCAGAAGGGGAGAGUGGAAUUCCAUGUGUAGCGGUGAAAUGCGUAGAUAUAUGGAGGAACACCGGUGGCGAAAGCGGCUCUCUGGUCUGUAACUGACGCUGAGGCUCGAAAGCGUGGGGAGCAAACAGG